GGGGAGAGGCCGGAUCCUGGGUUGUGUCCUGGCGCCCUGUGCUCCCGGGCCUGCGCUGUUGGAUUCGCUCUCCGGCCCUGCAGCCCCCU
rnacentral:pre_miRNA from 1 species